GAGUCAGGCAGUCAGCUUAGCAGACAGAUGGAGGGAGCAAACAUAAUUUACUUUAGCUCCACAGGUUCACUGAAAACUAUUAAGAAAAGGCAUGACAUCCCCCCCCCCCAUGAUGAACAGCAUUGCUACCAUUAGCUAUUGCUUUAGCUCUAUAAUUUUAUGAAACAGAAAAGGAGGAAAAAAAAUUGAGAACAGAAGCAAAGUUUGACCCAACAAAGCUAGAGGUUUUAUUUAAAAAUUUAAGUGUGACUUUAUUCUCUACUGGGUGGCUGCUUAACUAUUUACAUUGCUGCCGAGGAGCUGCGAUGUCUGAUACACAGCUGUUUCUCACCCAGAAAGCUAAUACCCCAGCUGAGCAGCCUUAGAAUCUGGAUGAGAAACUAACAUAUGGCUUGUUAGAGCAGUGAUUCUACACAUUAGAAUCACCUGGGAAACCUUAACAAUCCUGCCGUCUGGGUUUCCUGCUCAGAGAUUCUGAUUUAAUUGUUCUGGGCACAGGGGAAUCUCAAAACGUCCUCAAGCAUUUCUAAUAUGGAGUCAAAGUUGAGAACUAGUGAGCAAGUAGGCCAGCCCGAGGAGACUCCAUGCAGAGAAUCCUCAGGAUUCAUAAGAACCCAAGACUGUCCAAUGAGAAAGAAAAUGGGACCCACAGUUGUUCUGGGACAUUAGGCCUCUUUGAGACUGGCUGCUCUGGGGUCUGGUUUAUUUCCCCUGACUGGUGGCUCUGGGAAUUGUGUGUGUGACUUUCCUGCUUUAUGGUUCCCUCUGCCCCACCGGCAACUGUAAAGGUCGCUAUUGGUUCACAAACUGAUCCCUUAAGCGAAGAGCAAAGAGAGCCAGAAGAAAGAGGACGAGCAGGAGCCUGAAGUGGUCAGAUGGGGAGCAGACCACACAGGAAUGGACCAAGCCUAAUAAAUAGCAGUUCUUGUAUACACACAUGCAGUGAAUUCAUCCAGAUGAAAUGAUUCCUACAAACAGGCCACCGAUGGGUUAUCUGUUGCAGGUCAGGAACUGGCAAUAGUUUCUGGAAUGUCAAGAAGAAAAAUAAGAAAUGAAGAAGAAAUGCUUUUAGCACAAAAUGAGGAGUUGUCACCAUCAAAAGAUGACGACAAGAUGGUUACCAGACCUGAAAAGGAAGAGAAGGAGCUUGGACCUUAGGAAAAAUCUUAACUGCUCUGAUGAGUCUAUCUUUUCUACUUAUGACUUUAAGUCUUUGUUAGUAAAUCAAUAUACCUCAUGUGGA